rnacentral:rRNA from 1 species
CCCUAGAGGAGCCUGUUCCAUAAUCGAUAAACCCCGAUCCACCUCACCCUCUCUUGCUUAGCCUAUAUACCGCCAUCUUCAGCAAACCCUGAUAAAGGUUACAAAGUGAGCACAAACGCCCUGCCGCCGCAAAAACGUUAGGUCAAGGUGUAGCCCAUGAGAGGGGUAAAAAUGGGCUACAUUUUCUACAUCAGAAAACCCCACGAAAACUCUUAUGAAACCUAAGAGUCCAAGGAGGAUUUAGCAGUAAAUUAAGAAUAGAGUGCUUAAUUGAACCAGGCCAUAAAGCGCGUACACACCGCCCGUCACUCCCCUCAAAUGUAUUUAAAGGACAUCUUAACUAAACACCCUAAUAUUUACAUAGAGGGGAUAAGUCGUAACAUGGUAAGUGUACUGGAAGGUGCACUUGGAC